AACGAACGCUGGCGGCAGGCCUAACACAUGCAAGUCGAACGCUCCAGCAAUGGAGAGUGGCAGACGGGUGAGUAACGCGUGGGAACCUACCCUUUGGUUCGGAAUAGCCCAGAGAAACUUGGGGUAAUACCGGAUAAGCCCUUCGGGGGAAAGAUUUAUCGCCAAUGGAUGGGCCCGCGUCGGAUUAGCUAGUUGGUGGGGUAACGGCCUACCAAGGCGACGAUCCGUAGCUGGUCUGAGAGGAUGAUCAGCCACACUGGGACUGAGACACGGCCCAGACUCCUACGGGAGGCAGCAGUGGGGAAUAUUGGACAAUGGGCGCAAGCCUGAUCCAGCCAUGCCGCGUGAGUGAUGACGGCCUUAGGGUUGUAAAGCUCUUUUCUCCGGGACGAUAAUGACGGUACCGGAGGAAUAAGCCCCGGCUAACUUCGUGCCAGCAGCCGCCGUAACAC
rnacentral:rRNA from 1 species